GGCAGUGUGGUACAGUGGGCAGAGCACUGGUUUGGAACUCAGAAAGCCUUGGUUCAGAUCCCAGCUCUGCCU
rnacentral:tRNA from 1 species